CGCAAGGUUAAAACUCAAAUGAAUUGACGGGGGCCCGCACAAGCGGUGGAGCAUGUGGUUUAAUUCGAUGCAACGCGAAGAACCUUACCUGGUCUUGACAUCCACAGAACCUUGUAGAGAUACGAGGGUGCCUUCGGGAACUGUGAGACAGGUGCUGCAUGGCUGUCGUCAGCUCGUGUUGUGAAAUGUUGGGUUAAGUCCCGCAACGAGCGCAACCCUUAUCCUUUGUUGCCAGCGGUCCGGCCGGGAACUCAAAGGAGACUGCCAGUGAUAAACUGGAGGAAGGUGGGGAUGACGUCAAGUCAUCAUGGCCCUUACGACCAGGGCUACACACGUGCUACAAUGGCGCAUACAAAGAGAAGCGACCUCGCGAGAGCAAGCGGACCUCAUAAAGUGCGUCGUAGUCCGGAUUGGAGUCUGCAACUCGACUCCAUGAAGUCGGAAUCGCUAGUAAUCGUGGAUCAGAAUGCCACGGUGAAUACGUUCCCGGGCCUUGUACAC
rnacentral:rRNA from 1 species